UCCAUACCUCGUCUGGUAUGAGAGACCACGUUCCCGGUAGGGUUCUCUACGGACCCGGUCCGUCCACCAUCUCCCAGGAUAUCUAGUCAGGCUAUCCACAUUAUCCAUUUAUCGAUUCACGUAACCUUUUAUUCAUUUUUUCCUCAGUCACCAUCAUCAAAUCACACACAAACAUGCAAACCAGUAGAUUAUGCAAAACAAGACAAC
rnacentral:lncRNA from 1 species